GUCUAUAGCCAAGUGGUAAGGCAUGGGACUGCAACUCCCCGAUCGUUGGUUCAAAUCCGACUAGGC
rnacentral:tRNA from 4 species